ensembl:lncRNA
CUCCAGGAGCCUCCCCCAUACACGAACACUGCUCUCGUCCCCCCAGAGAGGCCUGGGAACGCUCUGUAUUUUGCAGAUUGCAGCUGGCUCACUGUUGCCCUGGACCCAGACUGAGAAGCAUCAGAGAAGAGGACAUGGAGGAGAAGGCAGCAUGGAAGGGUCCCUGGGCAAGGGCUUUGUGUAUGAGAAGAAGCAGGCAGAAGACCUGAAUGAACAAGUACCUUCGUGCUGUCUAUGUUUGCGUGUCUAGUCUGCCGAUCUACACACGCGCCUGGAAAGCAGCUCUGGAUGGAUCCCACCCGCCUUACCCUCCCCCUCUUCCCUUUCUCAGCCAGUGGCACUGCUGGCCCACCUCGCUGCUCCACCCAGGGCCCCGGCAUCCACUCCUACCUUGCUGAGCCUGUCACCAUCCCUCUCCCCCAGGUUUCUGCAGCUUCCCGGGCUGCAUUUCUUCCUGUACCUCUGUGUAGCUCCCUUUCAUUUCACCCCAAGACCCUCCCCGAGCUUCUUCAGCCUCUCUUGAGCUUCUCUGGAACAUGGUCUUCAAGCUCCUUCAACGCUCACGACCUUUCUGCCCUUUGGCUCAGAAUGCUCCCUCUGCCCCUUCAUGUGGCUGGCCAUCAUCUUGGAAUCCUCAGCUGACAUGCUACUUCAGAGGGACUUUCUCCAUCAACUGCCCUCUUCCAGGCUGAGUCCCUGGGUUCAUUUCUGACAUAACAGCCCAUUUGUUCUUCAAAACAUUUACUGUAAUAGGCAAUAUGAGAUAUUUUCUUUAUUGUUCAUGAUAAAAAAUUUCUGCCUAGAAUCUUGUACCUACAAGAGCAGGCAUUUUGUCUUGAUUAUUAUUGAUUAUUGGCAUCCAUAGCUGCUGUCUAAAUACUAGUUUAAUAAAUGAGUGACCUCCUGUGAUUGCUGCA